rnacentral:snRNA from 1 species
UUACUUACCUGGAUGCGGUCAAUGGGCGAUCAAUAAGGCUCAUGGCCUAGGUCAGUGACCUCCAUUGCACUGAGGAGGGGCCCAUUGAUUGUUAACUAUAAGUUACUUUAGACUUUAGGGCUUUGUACAAAAUAUUUUUAUGAGUCACAA